rnacentral:rRNA from 1 species
UACGAAGGGGGCUAGCGUUGCUCGGAAUCACUGGGCGUAAAGCGCACGUAGGCGGAUUGUUAAGUCAGGGGUGAAAUCCUGGAGCUCAACUCCAGAACUGCCUUUGAUACUGGCGAUCUUGAGUCCGGGAGAGGUGAGUGGAACUGCGAGUGUAGAGGUGAAAUUCGUAGAUAUUCGCAGGAACACCAGUGGCGAAGGCGGCUCACUGGCCCGGUACUGACGCUGAGGUGCGAAAGCGUGGGGAGCAAACAGG